GGAGAGGAGGGUUAGAGCGGAGGAUGAUAUAAGCGCAGAGUUUUAAUGAGGAUCUACUUAUCUGUCACUCAUACUCCUUUCAUUGUUCCCCUCCCCCAUUUAGCGAGAUAGCAGGAGCGAGCUUGGGAUGGUGGGGGCAGCAAAGUCAGGGUCGAGGGGGGAGUAGCAAUGGUAAGGCACAUCACUUAUUUAUAGGUUAUAAAACCUUGCUCCCUCCUAUAUGGUCCAGUCUGCUUUUAGUUUUUUUAGUUGUUGUUUUUUUGUCUUCUUUGAAAUCUGUUUCACUUCCAUGAUAACUCGGCCUCCCUUUAGCAGCAAAUGCACGAGGGAGAGGAGUGAGAGGAGCUGAGGUUUAGUUACAGUGUGGCAAUCUGACAAUGUGCGUAUGUGUGUGUUUGUGUGUAAGCCAAUUAGCAUUCCCCUUGUUCACUGUCCCUUCUCGCUCUGUGUGUGUGUGUGUUAUUAAUAAAACAUACAGCAGAUGUUCCAAAGGAGCAUUUUAUCCAUAUGAUCAUUUUUAUUUAUAGAGCCCUAUUAAAUCAACGAUCCAUUCUAUAGAGCGGGGUUUGCAUGUGCUGUUUUUCUUUUUUUGUUAGGUCUCAUAAAAGAAUUGGAAAUUUUGUUGAAUCGUUCUCUCGUGCAUUGUGUUGCCCUGUCCUAACUACAGGCACAAACACGGGGCUGGACGAAAAGCCUCUAUGGUAUGCUUGUUCUUGGUUUGCGUUGCCUUGUGUGCGGGCUCUGUGCAGACGAGUUGAAUCCUGUUUUAUAAGUGAAUGUGUGCUCAGGUGUCGCCACACAAUCAGGCGGUUAGUGCGUUGCAUCGUAUAUGUGCAUAAUUAGGCUUGUGUGAGAGCUCCGCGAGGUCACGUAUAGGGUAAAGGCUGAUGCGCUGACAGCUGUGCUCUGUUGUGGCAGGUGUGUCGGGGCUGUAUAUGUAUGAGAACAACACGCCCGUGCCUGCAGCAGGACAUGAGCCUGCAGUACGUGUGCUCAGUGUGCAGGAAACUGUGCAGCUGUUGUUUGUAUGCUUUUGCCAGUGACUAGAGAUAUUGGAGUCAAGGUAGGAACUGUUUCUCUCUUUUUCUCCCCUGACAUUUAUUACUAAUUCUGAUCUUCAGGGUCUGUUUACCUAUGAUAUGAUCUUGAUACUCUGACAAAUGUUUGCAACCUCUAAUGCCAGUAAUAACUGCAAUAUUUGCAUCACAGCCCGAGCUGAAAGUGAGACAGUGAUUUGGAAAGUAUUCAGGCACCCUUUUCUGUGUCAAGCCACACUAAACCACACGUUUCAGAGUGGUUAGUGAAUGUAUUACUGACUAAAAAUCAUUCAUAUAAGUAGUGUUCAGUUCUUUAUACUUUUUACUUGUCCUUUGGCAAUAAUUGGAGCUUCUAGGCUACAAUCUUUGCACACCUGGCUUAAGAUAGUUUAUUUUAUUCUCUGUGACAGCUCUGUCAAAGUGGAUAACAAACGUGUACAAACUGACAAGUUCAGAUCUUGCCAAAGAUGUUUUAAACGGUUUAAUUCUGCUCCACUAGUUACAGUCUGAGACUUGUUUCGAAACCACUUUUCUUUUGGGUGUAAUACAGAUGUCAGCUUAAGGGAUGCCGAAGUGACCUCUGUGAUGACGAGUCAAAGAAAUCUACAACCUCCCCAGUUUGUCUGGACCAGAGAGAGUCUUUGCUGAGCUUCACAGAUACUCCCACUGUAAUCCAGAAACACCAGUAUAACUGUCCCGAGAAAAGGAAAUAGCACAGCAGUUCAGUCAUCCCCAGAAUGGCUGACCUUCCUCCCCUUGGCUUAAGACUUCCUUGUAUUCCCAGCAUUUUAUUAUAUGUUUGGGGCUAUUCCUCAUCAUCGAUUGGGAGCAGUACAGAGAAUAGAUGGGGGGAUGGAUGACCUUUUGAACACUGGGUGACUGUUGUCAUGAAAGGCGACUCCCACUCUCCCAAAGCCGAUGCACUCUGGCGAUGGUAUCUUGCAAGACCUACAUGCAUUUAGCCAGAAUCCUUUUCCUCAUCCUUCCUGUCGGGCUUUCUGACCCCAGCUGCAAAGAAGACCAUCCAACAGCAGUGCCUGUGUCCCACAAACACGAUUCUACAUGUUUGCUGAGUUUUUAUUUUCAGACAUCCUUUACAUGUGAUUUGAAACACAUGAAGCAGACUGUUAUGUGUCUUUUACUCAGAACUGCUCGCGUCUGGUGGCGGUCAAACUUCCUGCAGGUUCUCCGAUCUCUACAGAAAACAUCUGAAGUCUUCUUGCAAUAAAUGCUGAAUUCUUGGUCACAUACCAGACCAAUUAAAUAUUUACUCAGACAUCCUACUUAGUCUGGCUGACUCUAAGAAGAGCCCUGGUCAUUCCGUUACUUGGGUGUUUCUCCUAAUAACCACUCAAACCUUUAUAAAUGGAUUUAGAACCAGCACCUCAAUGCAGUUUCCAGUCAUAAUGGCUGCUAUUGUCUUGCUGUGCAGUGUGAAUUGUAGAAGCUUUAUAUACACAGGUGUGUGCCUUUCUAAACUAUGGCUAAUCAGUUUGCCAGUUUGCCACAGGUGGAUUCCAGCAGAGCUCAAGGACAGUUAAAGUAAACAGGAUGCACCUGACCACAAUUUGGAUUCCCACACAAAGGGUGCAAUGACGUUCGUAAAGGAGAAAAUGUUCUAAAAUGAUUUUACGUUAUGUUCACAGUGAACACAAUGGAGUGUGCAACAGCUGAACAGAUCUAGUGAAUUUUUUUCAGCUGGGUACGGUUUGACUUCCUCUGUUACUCAGACCUUUGAUUAGUAUUAUUGACAUAGUCAGAAAUGCAUUUGCGCAGCUUCCAGCUUGUGUAACCGCCCUGCCUGUUCCAGUUCAGCGGUGGAUAUUAGAGGUGGCUGACAUGGAUGCAUUAUGUACUAACUUACAGUAUGGCAGAAAUGCAUUUGUCACACAAAGCUUUAACAGUCCUUCCAUUAACACUGACAGGAACAUGAACAUGCCCAGCUGAAUGCAUACGGAGCAGCCAUUCAUCAACCAAGCAGAAUUCUAACCUUCAUCUGAUAAGACCUUUGAAAUCUGUGCCAAAACUCUAAUCCAGGAUAGCAGUGCAUACACACACACACACACACACACAAGUGCACAAACAUCAAAGACAAAAAUCUGUAGCCAAUGUUUAUUGAUCUGCAGGUCUAUUUUUGCUCGGGGAAAUCAUUCUAACAUAAACCAGCCCUCUGUCAAAUUUGAGCUGCAGGGAAACAGGCAACAUUCAUGCAAUGCAUGUUAGAGUGAAGCAGUGAAAAUAAGCAAAGGAAGAUGUAUAAAUGCAGGUAAGCAGAAUCAGUGGAUGUGCAUAUAUGUGUGUAUAUUUGUGUUUUUGGCUGUGUAUAUAUGAAGACAUGUGAGAUCAGUGCUUUUGAACGUGUCAGAGAUCUUUCACGGAGACAAGCUGGAUUAAUUAGAGACAGUACAAAGUGAUGUCAGUCGUUGCCAUAGGAACUUUGUGCUACACUAGUGACACACUCAAGUGUCAGAGGUGCAAACUAUUAAAGUGUCUUUACUCUUGUACUCUUGCAGUGAACCAUUGCGGGGGGGUUAAAGGUUGGUUUGGAAAUGAUCAAAAUAAGAACUGUACUGAAAUUUUACUUGAAUGAAAACCUUUUUAAAGUCAAACUUGAACAUCAUUGUUGC
ensembl:lncRNA